rnacentral:rRNA from 1 species
UACGUAGGGGGCAAGCGUUGUCCGGAAUCAUUGGGCGUAAAGAGCGUGUAGGCGGCCCGAUAAGUCCGCUGUGAAAGUCCAGGGCUCAACCCUGGAAGUGCCGGUGGAUACUGUCGGGCUCGAAUCCGGAAGAGGUGAGUGGAAUUCCUGGAUGUGAGCGGUGAAAUGCGCAGAGUAUCAGGAGGAACACCAAUGGCGAAGGCAGCCCACUGGGACGGUAUGACGCUGAGACGCGAAAGCGUGGGAGCAAACAGG